CCCCUAAAAAUGCUUGAAGAGCAUCCUUAUCCAGUACGUUGACUGUUGUAAUUAAGGAUAUUUUUGAUUCAUGAUUAAAAUCAAAAUUAGAAUGAAAAUAAGAAUAAUUACAUUCUCUGAUAUAUUUCGUUUAUAGUUAAAAUUGAAAUCGAAAGCAAGUUAUACUUUAAAUCUUAAAAAAAAAUUAAAAAUUAAAUUUUAAAUAUUUAAAAUAUUUUAUUUUUUUAUAAUUAAAAUAGUAAUAGAACUAUCUCCAAUCAAAUGUCUAAAAUAUGAGCCAUUCAUUUUCAUUCUCCGAUCUCCCCUAUCGAAGCAUGUCCUAAAAACGGUUAGAAAUUGGAAUCGAGGUUGAUGUUUUCAUUGAGAUACGAUUUUCUAGCGGAGUGGACCACAACUCACUCAAGAUGCAUGCUGGUAGCCAUGGAAAUACCGACCAACAACUCCAUAAGCAAUCUGCACAGCAUCUACAAAACCAGGAUUAGUAAAAGCUUAUUAUUUUCGCCGGUCAAUUAAAGCCAAACCUAAUUUAUUUGGUAAAGAGCACUGCACCCACCAUCGCCGCUACGUCCCUUCUCACUUCUCCAGUCCUCGGUGUUGUGGCUUUUGAUUGGUGCGGUACAUGAAGGAUGGUUGAGUGCUGGAUUGGCUUUAAGCACUGCUGGAAUGUCACGUCAGGCAUGCAUCCACUGCCAUAUCAGACAUCUAAUAUUAUUGGCCGAGUGGGUCCACACUGCUUGCUCUUGAACUGCGAACAUGAGUAAUCUGAAUCAUCCUAGGUCCUUGAUCUCACCUCCAUGAACAGUCCACUUGACUGGAGCUUGGAACUAUUCGUGUGCA
rnacentral:lncRNA from 1 species